rnacentral:rRNA from 1 species
GAAAAGCGUAGUCGAUGGGAAACAGGUUAAUAUUCCUGUACUUCUGGUUACUGCGAUGGAGGGACGGAGAAGGCUAGGCCAGCUUGGCGUUGGUUGUCCAAGUUUAAGGUGGUAGGCUGAAAUCUUAGGUAAAUCCGGGGUUUCAAGGCCGAGAGCUGAUGACGAGUCGUCUUUUAGAUGACGAAGUGGUUGAUGCCAUGCUUCCAAGAAAAGCUUCUAAGCUUCAGGUAACCAGGAACCGUACCCCAAACCGACACAGGUGGUCGGGUAGAGAAUACCAAGGCGCUUGAGAGAACUCGGGUGAAGGAACUAGGCAAAAUGGCACCGUAACUUCGGGAGAAGGUGCGCCGGCUAGGGUGAAGGAUUUACUCCGUAAGCUCUGGCUGGUCGAAGAUACCAGGCCGCUGCGACUGUUUAUUAAAAACACAGCACUCUGCAAACACGAAAGUGGACGUAUAGGGUGUGACGCCUCCCCGGUGCCGGAAGGUUAAUUGAUGGGGUUAGCGCAAGCGAAGCUCUUGAUCGAAGCCCCGGUAAACGGCGGCCGUAACCAUAACGGUCCUAAGGUAGCGAAAUUCCUUGUCGGGUAAGUUCCGACCUGCACGAAUGGCGUAACGAUGGCGGCGCUGUCUCCACCCGAGACUCAGUGAAAUUGAAAUCGCUGUGAAGAUGCAGUGUAUCCGCGGCUAGACGGAAAGACCCCGUGAACCUUUACUGUAGCUUUGCACUGGACUUUGAGCCUGCUUGUGUAGGAUAGGUGGGAGGCUUUGAAGCGUGGACGCCAGUUCGCGUGGAGCCAUCCUUGAAAUACCACCCUGGCAUGCUUGAGGUUCUAACUCUGGUCCGUAAUCCGGAUCGAGGACAGUGUAUGGUGGGCAGUUUGACUGGGGCGGUCUCCUCCUAAAGAGUAACGGAGGAGUACGAAGGUGCGCUCAGACCGGUCGGAAAUCGGUCGCAGAGUAUAAAGGCAAAAGCGCGCUUGACUGCGAGACAGACACGUCGAGCAGGUACGAAAGUAGGUCUUAGUGAUCCGGUGGUUCUGUAUGGAAGGGCCAUCGCUCAACGGAUAAAAGGUACUCCGGGGAUAACAGGCUGAUACCGCCCAAGAGUUCAUAUCGACGGCGGUGUUUGGCACCUCGAUGUCGGCUCAUCACAUCCUGGGGCUGAAGCCGGUCCCAAGGGUAUGGCUGUUCGCCAUUUAAAGUGGUACGCGAGCUGGGUUUAGAACGUCGUGAGACAGUUCGGUCCCUAUCUGCCGUGGACGUUUGAGAUUUGAGAGGGGCUGCUCCUAGUACGAGAGGACCGGAGUGGACGAACCUCUGGUGUUCCGGUUGUCACGCCAGUGGCAUUGCCGGGUAGCUAUGUUCGGAAAAGAUAACCGCUGAAAGCAUCUAAGCGGGAAACUUGCCUCAAGAUGAGAUCUCACUGGGAACUUGAUUCCCCUGAAGGGCCGUCGAAGACUACGACGUUGAUAGGCUGGGUGUGUAAGCGUUGUGAGGCGUUGAGCUAACCAGUACUAAUUGCCCGUGAGGCUUGACCG